AAUAUUGGAGAAAAGACAUAAAUACAUCAUCGAAGUUGUCCCAUAUUUUCAUAAAGACACCUAAACUUUAAAAGAGUCCUAUCACCCCACUAAACAACUAUAUAUCAUUGUAAAUGGGUCAUUUUUACCCAUUCCCUCGUCUACGUCGUGCGCGUGUUGCUCACUCCCUAGAAUAGAAUAUACCCGACCCUUAUCUUUUGAAGAAAAGUCGUCUAUGUUCUCUUCUCAUCACCCAUCACCAGAUUAGGUAAAGAAAUGGGAACAUCCAUGGAAAAGCCAAAGCUCUCAUAAACACACAGGCACUUAAUAAGACAAGAAGCCUCUCUUAUAAGUGAAUGCAACUGAAACGACAUCAUUUCUACUGGGAAUCUGGGAAUCUCCCUUCGUCUUUGUCAGAUAAAUCUCAAACGACCAAAAAAGCUGCUUGGAGCAACCGUGGAGAUUUUAGCAGAGAAGAUGAGUAUUUUCAAACAAAAAAGUUCUUCUUUCUUAUUUCUAAUUUGUAUGUUUGUUGCGGAGUUUGAAGGAUGAGUAUUUUCCUCUUUUCGAUUUGUAAUUUAGCAGUAACAAAUAAAUCAGCCCAAAGAAUCAUUCAAACAAAAAAGUUCUUCUUUCUUCUUUCCCAAUUUGUAUGUUUGUUGUGGGAUGUUAGAAGGAUGAGUAUUUUCUUUUAGAAAUAGAGUGAGAUUACAUGGUGAAAAA